GAAUACAUUAGCAUGGGAUAAUGGAAUAGGACCCUGUCCUCCUAUUUUCAGUUGGUUUUGGCAGCGCGAGGACUAGGGUAAUGAUUAAUAGGGAUAGUUGGGGGCAUUAAUAUUUAAUUGUCAGAGGUGAAAUUCUUGGAUUUAUGAAAGAUUAACUUCUGCGAAAGCAUCUGCCAAGGAUGUUUUCAUUAAUCAAGAACGAAAGUUAGGGGAUCGAAGACGAUCAGAUACCGUCGUAGUCUUAACCAUAAACGAUGCCGACCAGCGAUUAGGAGACGUUGAAUACAAAACACCACCAUC
rnacentral:rRNA from 1 species